AGAGAUGUAGCUCAAUGGUAGAGUGCUUGCCUAUCAUGUGUGAGGCCCUGGGUUCUAUUCCCAGCACAUCAA
rnacentral:tRNA from 1 species